ACAUGUUAAAAAAAUCAUUUUAAAAAUGUUGGCAAACCUUAGAAUCCCCACUACUUUCCUGUUUCUUAUUUUUGUCUAACCCCUCCUCAACCAGCCGUUUAUGGCUCUCUCUCUCUUCCCUCUCCUCAAAAUUUUAGAUCUAAAACUAUGGCAUGGUGAGAUAACAAGCAAGACAAAACCAAAAUUCAAUUAUCUCUCUCCCUGAACAACCCCCAUGGUCGCUUGAGUCGGACGACACGUUUGGGUCGGGCUGUGAUCCGAAGCGACACCGUCUCCUCCGCUCUGCGCUGUCAAUUUAACUGUCAUUGCCCAAUCCUUCAUAUAGGUUCACUUCUCUUUCCUCUCCUUGAAUUCACAUGAGCAUCGAUUUUAAUUGCCAAAUUUUGUUUUGAUUGUCGAAUUUGAAUCUACAUUGAAGCAACUUACUAGAUCUGAUUUUCGUUUUAAUUUCAGGUUUUAUUUAAGUGUCGGGAGGGGUGUAGAGUGCAACCCAGAUCAGAGCACUUCAGCAAAUGGGGUCCACAUGCGGUGCCGGACUAGCGAGUCAGCGCAGUCGUGAAGAAUGACAUAUUCUAUAUAGUUAGAUCUGCUGCGCUGCGCAUCUCGCUGCUGAUGAGUUUCGUUCACUUGUUGAGUUUCUUUACUAAUGAUGAUGAUGACAGUAGCUCAAUUGUACAAGUAUUUAUUAUCUAUUGUAAAAUUUGUAAUUUUGUUUUCUUGGAAGAAAUUUAGUUAUUGUAAUUAAAAUAUCGGUUAUUUUAAUUAAAACUACUCCAUAUAAUCA